rnacentral:rRNA from 1 species
CGGCGGACGGGUGAGUAACACGUGGGUAACCUACCUAUAAGACUGGGAUAACUUCGGGAAACCGGAGCUAAUACCGGAUAAUAUAUUGAACCGCAUGGUUCAAUAGUGAAAGACGGUUUUGCUGUCACUUAUAGAUGGAUCCGCGCCGCAUUAGCUAGUUGGUAAGGUAGCGGCUUACCAAGGCAACGAUGCGUAGCCGACCUGAGAGGGUGAUCGGCCACACUGGAACUGAGACACGGUCCAG